rnacentral:lncRNA from 11 species
GGAAACUAUUGUUUACAUCAGUAGAAAAGAGAUGGAAAGUACCAGUAAUUGUGGGAAUCAACUCAGCAUUAUGCUAGAAAAGGUACAGCACAUAAUUCACCAAAGGCUCCAAUGUUCAGCAGAAUUCAGACCAUCCUGCCUCAGUCGCUUUCCAACUCACCUUUUUGAUGAGACUGGACAAGAAAUUAAAAACCCACUUUUACUGCAGAAUGAGCAAAAAAUUUGGGUUUCUUAUGGUGAAGAUUACAGGUAGGAACAAAGUGUUUCACUAG